AGUGCCAGGCACAGAGCAGGGGCUCAGUCAAUGAAAAUGCAAUUCAAUUCCAACACAAUAAGCAUUCAUGGAGCACCUGCCAGGCACCCAGGUGUAGAGAUGCAAGGAGGGUGGCUCCUAACAGUCAGGAUGCCUACAUAUACAGAUAGCCAAUAGGGACGGAACGAGCACCAAUGUGGCCCUGUCAUUGGCUCAUUUACUCCUCAAGGCAUGGGUCCACCGUGCUCUGGGGAGAUACAGGUGGAUUAAAAUGCUCUCCAGGUUCUCUGAGAGACAUGACCGGGUACAUGUAAUGUACCACAUGGGCACAUGACACCUGUCAAACAGGCGUGGACAAGGUGGAUCCGGGGCUCAGAGGUCAGGGCUGCUGGACUGUGGAUCCUUUGUGAGGGACAAGGUUGAGGGUCAGAGGGGCUGGAUAAGGUGUGUUGUGUCUUUGAACUUGCUGGCCCUUUGGCCUGGCACACCUCUCCUUUCCCUCCUCCUCCUCAGCUGACACAUCCUCUGGUCGGUGGGCCCCCUCGGAAAGCCCACCUCCUCACCACCCUCUGCAUUUCCUCUCAAGCACGAGCAGGGUGUGCAGUGGAUGAGAAAGGCGGGGAAGGAGCUGGCACUCCUUGGACACCUGCUAUGCCACGCUCUGUGCGAGUCCACAGCGAGCGUUAUUUCGUGAAUUUUCCCAGUGCUCCACGGAGUCCACGUACUCCCCUGCCGGUGUUAUCACCCUCGUUUUGCGGGCUACAGAAAAGGCCCCAAGAGGGCAAACGCCUUUGCCCAAGGUCGCAGCUGGAAGUGAUGGAGCUGAACUUGGAAUCCAGAGCCAGCCGCCUCUCCACACCCUUGGCGCUUUCAGGGCUCGGGGAGAGGCCAAGCAGGCAGGAAAGGAAAUGGAAUGAGUCGUUUACUGCCCCGGGCAUUUUCAGCAACAACAGCACCACCUGCAGGAUCUGACGGGACAUGGGUCUGGAGCAGGUGGGCUCCUCUCUGCUGGAGGGGAUGGAUCCCGAAGGAGGGACCUGAGACAUGACCUUUCACCUUGAAAAGGAGCGAGCUGAGACUGAGAAAAGAACUUAACUCAAAGUCACAACGUCCGUGGUGGCAGAUUUGAAGCCGUUUCUCUUCUGACUCUCAGGUCAGUACCCCCUCCCUCCCACUACUCCUUUCUCUCUCUCAUUCAGUAAACAUUAAUGGAGCACUUAA